rnacentral:rRNA from 1 species
AAGGUGGCAAGCGUUGUUCGGAUUUACUGGGCGUACAGGGAGCGUAGGCGGUUGGAUAAGCCCUCCGUGAAAUCUCCAGGCUUAACCUGGAAAGUGCAGAGGGGACUGUUCAGCUAGAGGAUGGGAGAGGAGCGCGGAAUUCCCGGUGUAGCGGUGAAAUGCGUARAGAUCGGGAGGAAGGCCGGUGGCGAAGGCGGCGCUCUGGAACAUUUCUGACGCUGAGGCUCGAAAGCGUGGGGAGCAAACAGGAUUAGAUACCCUGGUAGUCCMCGCCUUAAACGAUGGAUACUAAGUGUCGGCGGGUUACCGCCGGUGCCGCAGCUAACGCAGUAAGUAUCCCGCCUGGGAAGUACGGCCGCAAGGUUG